GAUGAACGCUGGCGGCGUGCCUAAUACAUGCAAGUCGAGCGAACAGACGAGGAGCUUGCUCCUCUGACGUUAGCGGAGGGCGGGUGAGUAACACGUGGAUCACCUACCUAUCAGACUGGGAUAACUACGGGAAACCGGAUCUAAUACCGUAUAAUAUCUUGAACCGCAUGGUUCAAUAGUGAAAGACGGUUUUGCUGUCUCUUAUAGAGGGAUCCGGGCCGCAUUAGCUAGUUGGUAAGUUAACGGCUUACCAAGGCAACGAUGCGUGGCCGACCGGAGAGGGGGGUAGGCCACAUGGGAACUGAGACACGGUCAAGACUACUACGGGAGGCAGCAGUCGGGAAUCUUCCGCAAUGGGCGAAAGCCUGACGGAGCAAGGCCGCGUGAGUGAUGAAGGUCUUCGGAUCGUAAAGCUCUGUUAUUGGGGAAGAACAAAUGUGUAAGUAAACAUGCACGGCUUGACGGUACCUAAUCAGAAAGCAACGGCUAACUACGUG
rnacentral:rRNA from 1 species